rnacentral:lncRNA from 1 species
CUCUGUGUUAGAGCCAAGUGUUACGACUAUCUGAAAGUCUCUAGAGGUGAACAAGUUGAGCAGGGUUCAGAGAGACAAAAGGUGCCUCUAUUACACUGGAAGGCUCAGAGGAGUUCAGACUCUGAAGUUUGAGCCCUGAGCAGAGAUGGCAGCAGCCUUAUGUAGAGAUCUAUGGGGAGCAUGUGCCCUCAAUAACCUCCAAACCCAGAACCAAGUACUUCUUGUUAAAUUUGACGUACAGCAAGUGUGAUGAAGAGGACUCCCCAGAUCCCUAAUUUGCUGGCCAUCCAUAAACUCAAGAGCUUUGUACUGAGACUCCAGCUUUCAAAAGGUAGGACAUCCUGUGCUGAUUCCACUUGGCCUUGGUUUGCAUCCAGCUCAAACAUGCCUGUGCGGCUGUCAGAUUUAAUUAAAGGGCAAGACAAUAGCAACAACAACAGCAGCAGGAUAGUUGAGAGACCUUGUUUGUUCUGUAAAGCGCAACACUAAGAGGGAAUUUUCAAAAGGCAAAUAAACAGAGCAAAGAUCCCUGGUGCAGUCACUGGGCUGGGCAGUGUGUGUGGUGGGGGAGAAGGCAAUGUCUGCUUACUGUAGUCUAAG